UAAGGAAUAUUGGACAAUGGAGGCAACUCUGAUCCAGCCAUGCCGCGUGAAGGAAUAAGGCCCUAUGGGUUGUAAACUUCUUUUAGACGGGACAAAACCCCUUUACGUGUAAAGGGUUGAUGGUACUGUCAGAAUAAGCAUCGGCUAACUUCGUGCCAGCAGCCGCGGUAAUACGAAGGAUGCAAGCGUUAUCCGGAAUUAUUGGGUUUAAAGGGUGCGUAGGCGGACUAAUAAGUCAGUGGUGAAAGCCUGCAGCUUAACUGCAGAAUUGCCAUUGNUACUGGUAGUCUUGAGUACAGUUGAGGUAGGCGGAAUGUGUCAUGUAGCGGUGAAAUGCUUAGAUAUGACACAGAACACCGAUUGCGAAGGCAGCUUGCUAAGCUGUAACUGACGCUGAGGCACGAAAGCGUGGGGAGCAAACA
rnacentral:rRNA from 1 species